rnacentral:rRNA from 1 species
CGAGUGAAGCGGCAAAAGCUCGAAUUUGAAAUCCUCUUCGGAGGAGUUGUAAUUUGAAGCUGGUUCUUUAGGGAGUUUUGUUUUUGGCUGCGGAAGUGCCUUGGAACAGGCCGCCGUGGAGGGUGAGAGCCCCGUAUCGUGGCCAGCAAGAUUUUCGUAUAAGGGCUAGCGAAGAGUCGAGUUGUUUGGGAAUGCAGCUCUAAGUGGGUGGUAUAUUCCAUCUAAGGCUAAAUAUGGGCGAGAGACCGAUAGCAAACAAGUACAGUGAUGGAAAGAUGAAAAGAACUUUGAAAAGAGAGUGAAAAAGUACGUGAAAUUGUUGAAAGGGAAGGGUAUUUGAUCCGACAUGGUAUUUAGAUGUCGCUUGCCCCCGUGGCGGGCGCUCCAUCUUUUUACUGGGCCAGCAUCGGUGCUGGGCGGGACAGGAGGUUUCUGUGAAUGUAGCCCUUCGGGGAACUUAUAGAACAGGAUUCAUACGUCUCUCCCCG